GAUGAAGAACGUAGCGAAAUGCGAUACGUAGUGUGAAUUGCAGAAUUCAGUGAAUCAUCGAAUCUUUGAACGCACAUUGCGCCCCCUGGUAUUCCGGGGGGCAUGCCUGUUCGAGCGUCAUUUCACCACUCAAGCCUCGCUUGGUAUUGGGCAACGCGGUCCGCCGCGUGCCUCAAAUCGUCCGGCUGGGUCUUCUGUCCCCUAAGCGUUGUGGAACCUAUUCGCUAAAGGGUGUUCGGGAGGCUACGCCGUAAAACAACCCCAUUUCUAAGGUUGACCUCGGAUCAGGUAGGGAUACCCGCUGAACUUAAGCAUAUCAAUAAGCGGAGGA
rnacentral:misc_RNA from 1 species